CAUGUACCUAGCCCGCCAAGGUGGGUCGCAAUUGUAUGGUAAAAUAUUCUUUUUUGCCCACAAAUAUCCCCCUAAGGAACAGCGGAGAGUCCUCGCAAAUCUCCGAGCCUGAAUGGCGAGCUGUUAAGCGACACCUCUUCGUCCAGAAGACCUCCCAUAAGUUGGCAUCAUUAAGGGAAUAACCACUAACCGCUAGGAUACAAUUUCGCGGUUUUAAAAUUUAAUUCUAAAGAAAACAUGAACCUAGCAAAAUGCAGGGUUAGGUUCAGAACAAUGUUUUUUUUUUUUUGCUCGCACCAGGAUACGAUCUCAGAAGUUCGUACCUUAGUUAAUCCUAAAUUACAUGUCUACCAAGGGAAAGAGUACUGCACAUAGCAAAUUACGGGAAAACAUUAUCCCAUGGCAGCCAGUGGUACGUACCGGAUCGACCCGAUGGAGUCCUUCAUCGUCAAGCCACCGUAGCACAAAUGUUAGCAUGUCUGGAUCGAAACCUCCCAAGAAAAUCAUAACAAAUUUCGGCGGUAGUUGUCCCCUCCUAAUGUUGGCGAUAUUUGUGGGGUACUAUGCCAUUUAUGUCCUGAAAGGAAUGCCCAUGAAUAAAUUUGCAUUUUGAAACGCUGGUUGA